rnacentral:rRNA from 1 species
UACGUAGGAGGCAAGCGUUGUCCGGAAUUACUGGGCGUAAAGCGCGUGUAGGUGGUGGGACAAGUCUGCUGUGAAAGCGCCUGGCUUAACCGGGCGAGGUCGGCGGAAACUGUCCGACUCGAGGACGGUAGAGGGGGGUGGAAUUCCCGGUGUAGUGGUGAAAUGCGUAGAGAUCGGGAAGAACACCUAUGGCGAAGGCAGCUCUCUGGGACGGUACUGACGCUGAGACGCGAAAGCGUGGGGAGCGAACAGG